ACAGAGUUAGCCGGUGCUUAUUCUGCGAGUAACGUCCACUUAUCCUGGGUAUUAACCAGGUAAGCCUCCUCCUCGCUUAAAGUGCUUUACAACCAUAAGGCCUUCUUCACACACGCGGCAUGGCUGGAUCAGGGUUCCCCCCAUUGUCCAAUAUUCCCCACUGCUGCCUCCCGUAGG
rnacentral:rRNA from 1 species